GCUUGCUUCGGCAACAUGCAUACUAAAAUUGGAAGGAUACAGAGAAGAUUAGCAAGGCUCCUGCAUAAGGAUGACAUGCAAAUUUGUGAAAUAUUCCAUGUUUUU